UAGCUUCCUUUGGAAGCUGAUAUACUAAUGUUGGAACGAUACAGAGAUGAGUAGGAUGCCCCCUGCACAAAGAUGAUACAGAAAUCUGUGAAGCGUUACAUAUUUUU